AGCAGCCGCGGUAAUUCCAGCUCCAAUAGCGUAUAUUAAAGUUGUUGCAGUUAAAAAGCUCGUAGUUGAAUUUCGGGAUUGACGUGAUGGUCAUGCCUUAAGGGGUAUGAACUGUUACUGUUGAUUUCUCACCUUCUGGAGAAACUUGAUGUCCUUUAUUGGGUGUCUUGCGGAUCCAGGACCUUUACCUUGAAAAAUUAGAGUGUUUAAAGCAGGCAUUUUUGCUCGAAUACAUUAGCAUGGAAUAAUAGAAUAGGACGGCAUGGUUCUAUUUUGUUGGUUUCUAGGAUCACCGUAAUGAUUAAUAGGGAUAGUUGGGGGCAUUAGUAUUCAAUUGUCAGAGGUGAAAUUCUUGGAUUUAUUGAAGACUAACUACUGCGAAAGCAUUUGCCAAGGAUGUUUUCAUUAAUCAAGAACGAAAGUUAGGGGAUCGAAGACGAUCAGAUACCGUCGUAGUCUUAACCAUAAACUAUGCCGACUAGGAAUCAGACGAUGUUAAUUUUUAAUGACUCGUUUGGCU
rnacentral:rRNA from 1 species